rnacentral:rRNA from 1 species
GACGAACGCUGGCGGCGUGCUUAACACAUGCAAGUCGAACGGAAAGGCCCCCUUGUGGGGUACUCGAGUGGCGAACGGGUGAGUAACACGUGAGUAACCUACCCUUGACUUUGGGAUAACUUCAGGAAACUGGGGCUAAUACCGGAUAGGAGCUCCUGCUGCAUGGUGGGGGUUGGAAAGUUUCGGCGGUUGGGGAUGGGCUCGCGGCUUAUCAGCUUGUUGGUGGGGUAGUGGCUCACCAAGGCUUUGACGGGUAGCCGGCCUGAGAGGGUGACCGGCCACAUUGGGACUGAGAUACGGCCCAGACUCCUACGGGAGGCAACAGUGGGGAAUAUUGCACAAUGGGCGGAAGCCUGAUGCAGCAACGCCGCGUGCGGGAUGACGGCCUUCGGGUUGUAAACCGCUUUCGCCUGUGACGAAGCGUGAGUGACGGUAAUGGGUAAAGAAGCACCGGCUAACUACGU